rnacentral:lncRNA from 10 species
UGUGAAUGGCAGCGAUGCAUCCUUUGUGAGCUGAGGCUUUUAAGAAGCUGGUGAGGCUUCCUAUGCUUUCUUUCUGCUUCUGCUGGCUAGAAACAAAGGACACUGAGGCCCUCGGGGGAUGGUAGAGCCACAGGAAGCACCCCGGGUCCUUAAAUCAACAUGCGGAGGAAAGCCAACGGCCAGCCAUGGAUACUUGCAUUGGACUUUUAAGUGAAUGAGAGGGACACCUGCGGCUCCAGGUCAGAGAUGCACCUGCUAGUCCUGCCUCUACAGGACCCAACCCAUCAGUUCCUAGCUUGUCCUUCUGGUGAGAAUUGAGCACACUAUACUGUGGACAUAAAGACAAAAACCAGCAAGAAACUGAGCUCGGCUCCCUGGCUCACAUAGACAUGGAACAGAGAUCACAUCUGUGAGUGGAGGAGCCAGACUUUUCAUAUAAGCACAUGUAAAACUUUUGAAGUUGGCUGAUCCAAGAAUAGAUUCAAAUUCUUCAGCCAAGAGUCUAGACCAACUGACUUUUUCCACUUCAUUGCCUA